CAAUAGCGUAUAUUAAAGUUGUUGCGGUUAAAAAGCUCGUAGUUGGAUUUCUGCUGAGAACGACCGGUCCGCCCUUUGGGUGUGUAUCUGGCUCUUUCUCGGCAUCUUCUUGGUGAACGUUGCUGCACUUGACUGUGUGGAGCGCUACCCAGGACUUUUACUUUGAGGAAAUUAGAGUGUUUCAAGCAGGCAUACGCCUUGAAUACAUUAGCAUGGAAUAAUAAGAUAGGACCUCGGUUCUAUUUUGUUGGUUUCUAGAGCUGAGGUAAUGAUUAAUAGGGAUAGUUGGGGGCAUUCGUAUUUAACUGUCAGAGGUGAAAUUCUUGGAUUUGUUAAAGACGGACUACUGCGAANGNAUUUGCNAAGGAUGUUUNCAUUG
rnacentral:rRNA from 1 species